UCGUCACUAGGGGAGGAGCCACGCCACCAGGGGGAGGAGCUCUGAUCCCUUCGUGUUCAGGACCAGGAAGUGACAGCACGAGAGGGCAGUAGAUAACUUCUGAAUGUUUUCUCAGUUCAUUUGAGGAAGCUAGACACUAUCUCUUCCUUAUUCAUGGUAGUGUUCAAGUGUUGUGUAUGUAUAGGCCUGAGUCCGUGACGCAGUAUUGAUUGGCAGAGUCACUGUGUAAUACGCCAGAGAAGCAGCACAGCCAGGCCACAUCCAACACUGCCUAGAGCUGCAGAUGGUGGGAAUGCAGGUUCUUCGUCUAAUCCGCCUCCACUAAGGCGCCCAUCACAGGGCUCGGUUACUGUGGCUCCGAGGCCACACAAGAGGCCCCGUCUUGAGGCUCAAGCUCCAGCACCAGCAUCACCACCCCAACGGCGCAUCUCCGCAGUGUCUGUCGUGCCACCACUCGCUCUUUUGGCCAGCCCCCAAAGUGAGGAUCCACAAUCCCCACAGUUGUCUGGAGGCUAAACACAUGAAGAGUCCAGAUGAGGCCACAGCAAUACUGCUGAAGUAGAACACCAAAUUAUACUGACCAGUGAUGUCUACCAG